AAAAUCCGCCAAACGGAAGCCUGAGACACGAUGACGAGUGAAAAAUAGUAACGAAGUCCUUGAUCCUCCGCUGCCAAGAAAAGCUGCUAAGGAAUAUAGAGGUGCCCGUACCGCAAACCGACACAGGUAGACAGGUAGAGAAUACUAAGGCGCGCGAGAUAACUCUUGUUAAGGAACUCUGCAAAAUGAACCCGUAACUUCGGGAGAAGGGUUGCUGACCAUGGUGAGUAUGAGCAAUACAGAGCUGAGGUCAGUCGCAGUGAAAAGGUCCAGGCGACUGUUUAGCAAAAACACAGGUCAUUGCAAAAUCGCAAGAUGAAGUAUAAUGGCUGACGCCUGCCCGGUGCUGGAAGGUUAAGGGGAAGAGUGCAAGCUUUGAACCGAAGCCCCAGUAAACGGCGGCCGUAACAAUAACGGUCCUAAGGUAGCGAAAUUCCUUGUCGGGUAAGUUCCGACCCGCACGAAAGGCGAAACGAUCUGGACGCUGUCUCAACAUGGGACUCGGUGAAAUUGAAAUUCCGGUAAAGAUGCCGGAUACCUGCGAUAGGACAGAAAGACCCCAUGGAGCUUUACUGUAGCCUGAUAUUGGGUUUCGGAUAUUCAUGUACAGGAUAGGUGGGAGACUGAGAAUCGAGGACGCCAGUUUUCGAGGAGUCAAUGGUGGAUACCACCCUUAAAUGUUUGGAAUUCUAACAAGGAGUCUUGAAGCAGAUUAUUGGACAGUGUCAGGUGGGCAGUUUGACUGGGGCGGUCGCCUCCCAAAAGGUAACGGAGGCGCUCAAAGGUUCCCUCAGAACGGAUGGAAAUCGUUCGCAGAGUGCAAAGGCAGAAGGGAGCUUGACUGCGAGAGCAACAACUCGAGCAGAUAGGAACUAGGACUUAGUGAUCCGGCGGUCGCGAGUGGAAGUGCCGUCGCUCAACGGAUAAAAGCUACCCUGGGGAUAACAGGCUUAUCUCCCCCAAGAGUUCACAUCGACGGGGAGGUUUGGCACCUUGAUGUCGGCUCAUCGCAUCCUGGGGCUGAAGUAGGUCCCAAGGGUUGGGCUGUUCGCCCAUUAAAGCGGUACGCGAGCUGGGUUCAGAACGUCGUGAGACAGUUCGGUCCCUAUCCAUCGCGGGCGUAGGAAAUUUGAAGGGAGCUGACCCUAGUACGAGAGGACCGGGUUGGACAGACCGCUGGUGAACCAGUUGUCCUGCCAAGGGCAUAGCUGGGUAGCUAAGUCUGGAAAAGAUAAACGCUGAAAGCAUCUAAGCGUGAAGCGAACCUUAAGAUGAGAUUUCCAAGUAGCAAUACGAGAGACACCAGAGAGAAUAACUGGUAGAUAGGUCAGGAGUGUAAGUGUGGUGACACAUUGAGCGGACUGAUACUAAUAAGUCGAGCACUUAGUC
rnacentral:rRNA from 1 species